rnacentral:rRNA from 1 species
UUAUGAGUUAGUGGCGCACGGGUGAGUAAUGUAUAGCUAAUCUGCCCUACACUAGAGGACAACAGUUGGAAACGACUGCUAAUACUCUAUACUCCUCUCUAGCAUAAGUUAGAUAGGGAAAGUUUUUCGGUGUAGGAUGAGGCUAUAUUGUAUCAGCUAGUUGGUGAGGUAAUGGCUCACCAAGGCUAUGACGCAUAACUGGUCUGAGAGGAUGAUCAGUCACACUGGAACUGAGACACGGUCCAGACUCC